CCUACGGGUGGCUGCAGUGAGGAAUAUUGGUCAAUGGCCGCAGGGCUGAACCAGCCAAGUCGCGUGAGGGAUGACGGUCCUAUGGAUUGUAAACCUCUUUUGUCAGGGAGCAAAGGGCGCCACGUGUGGCGUUUUGCGAGUACCUGAAGAAAAAGCAUCGGCUAACUCCGUGCCAGCAGCCGCGGUAAUACGGAGGAUGCGAGCGUUAUCCGGAUUUAUUGGGUUUAAAGGGAGCGUAGGCCGGCUUUUAAGUCAGCUGUGAAAGUCCGCGGCUCAACCGUGGAAUUGCAGUUGAAACUGGAGGCCUUGAGUGCACAAAGGGAUGCCGGAAUUCAUGGUGUAGCGGUGAAAUGCUUAGAUAUCAUGAAGAACUCCGAUCGCGAAGGCAAGUGUCCGGGGUGCAACUGACGCUGAGGCUCGAAAGUGCGGGUAUCAAACAGGAUUAGAUACCCUUGUAGUC
rnacentral:rRNA from 1 species